AUCAGUGAGGGUGUUUACAUCCACGCACAAAUGUAUGGGCGUACAAAUAGCAGUCGCUUUCGAAGUAAAAGCAACGAUAUUGAUUUGCGUGCAUUAUCUCUAUGCUAGGCUCUUGACUACUGUUUUUUCGCGGGCCGGGGGCCGCAUUUACAG